rnacentral:rRNA from 1 species
GCUUUAACUUUAGCUUAACACUAACUUAUUCUAACUAUUUCAUACUAUUUUAAGCCAAGUAUUUUUUAAGAAAAGCAAACCAAAAGCUAUAGACAAAGUACCUUAAGGGAAAAUUGAAAAAAAAUGAAAACAAAAGCACUAAAAAGUAGAGAUUAAAACUCUUACCUUUUGCAUCAUAGUUUAACUACCUAAAACAGACUUUCUGAGCCUGAAUCCCGAAAUUAAAUGAGCUACUCAAAAAUAAUUUUUGAAUCAACUUUUUUCUGUAGCAAUAGAAUAAGAAAAUUUUCGAGUAGAGGUGAAAUGCCUAUCGAAUUUAAUAAUAUCUGGUUACUUGAAAGAAGAUUAUAACUCCGCUUUUACAAUUUUCAAAAUUACCUUUUAAUAACUUUUAAAGUGUGAAAAGUCAGUCACGAAAGGAACAGCCUUCAUGACUUUAGGAAACAACCUUUGGGAAUGAAAAAAUUUACCAAUUUUUAGAGUAAAAAUUGGCUUAAAAGCAGCCAUUUAAGAAAGCGUUACAGCCCAUACUCCUUUAUUUAAAAAUUUCACCCCUAAAAUCACCUCUUCCCUUAAUAUAUCAAGUAAUAUUAUAUCGUUAUAAUAGAUAAAAUGUUAAAAUUAGUAAUAAGGAGUCUGACCUCCUCUCUAUAUACCAGUGUAUAUCGAAACGAACUCCCAUCGAUAUUUAACGACCCUUAACCCAACAGAACAGAAGGGCAAAACCAAACUUUCAAGAAAUUCACCUUUUUCUUCAUCGUUAACCCAACACAGGGGUAUAUUAGAGAAAGAUUAAAAAAAUUAGAAGGAACUCGGCAAACUAUGGCUUCGCCUGUUUACCAAAAACAUCGCUUAUUGUUUAAUUAACAUAAUAAGUCCUACCUGCCCAGUGAUUUUUUCAACGGCCAUCUCUGAUGAUAACGUAGCAUAAUCAAUUGUCUAUUAAUUAUAGACUAGAAUGAAUGGAUUAACGAAAGCCAAACUGUCUCCUAAUUUUAAUCAAUGAAAUUAUCCUUUCUGUUCAAAGACAGAAAUUUUCUUAUAAGACGAAAAGACCCUAAAAGCUUCAAACAUUAAAUUAACCUAUCUAUAAAAACAAAUAAAGAAAAAUACUAAUUUUAAAAAUUUGGUUGGGGCAACCAUUGAAUAAAACUAUCAUCAAUAAUUAAACGAAAAAUUUUCUUAAAACAAAGUAACAACUUAAUUAAAUAAGAAACUUAUUAAAAUGACCCAGAAUCUUCUGAUCAAUGAACAAGUUACUUUAGGGAUAACAGCGCUAUUUCUUUUUAAAGUUCACAUCGACAAAGAAGCUUACGACCUCGAUGUUGGAUUAAGAUACCCAAGUGGUGCAAAAGCUACUAAUGGUUCGUUUGUUCAACGAAUAAUAUCUUACAUGAUCUGAGUUCAGACCGGAGUAAUCCAGGUCAGCUUCUAUCUAUAACUAAUUUUAUCGAGUACGAAAGGAAAAAUAAAAUAUAGCCUAUUAUAAAAUAACGCUAUUAAGAUUAAUUUCACAAUCAUCUACAUUCUCAAGAGAAGAAAACUU